AUUGAACGCUGGCGGCAGGCUUAACACAUGCAAGUCGAGCGGGGUGAUGGUGCUUGCACUAUCACUUAGCGGCGGACGGGUGAGUAAUGCUUAGGAAUCUGCCUAUUAGUGGGGGACAACAUAUCGAAAGGGAUACUACUACCGCAUACGUCCUACGGGAGAAAGCAGGGGAUCACUUGUGACCUUGCGCUAAUAGAUGAGCCUAAGUCGGAUUAGCUCGGUGGUGGGGUAAAGGCCUACACAGGCGACGGUCUGUCGCGGGUCUGAGAGGAUGAUCCGCCACACUGGGACUGAGGCACGGCCCAGACUCCUGCGGGAGGCAGCAGUGGGGAAUAUUGGACAAUUGGGGGAACCCUGAUCCAGCCAUGCCGCGUGUGUGAAGAAGGCCUUAUGGUUGUAAAGCACUUUAAGCGAGGAGGAGGCUCUUUUGGUUAAUACCCAAGAUGAGUGGACGUUACUCACAGAAUAAGCACCGGCUAACUCUGUGCCAGCCGCCGCCGUAA
rnacentral:rRNA from 1 species